rnacentral:precursor_RNA from 15 species
UUUGUCAGUGAUAAUCCGUGGUUCCCGAAGAGAGGUUGUCUGGGUUUCUGUUUCUUUAUUGAUGAUGAAACACACCUGGUUACCCUCUUUUCCGGUAUCAGAUCCCACCUGGGCGGCCUU